rnacentral:lncRNA from 1 species
CAUACACUUAAUACCCAGAGGAAGCAAGCGGGUGUGGUGGGGGAUGCAAGGGCAAGCAGGGAGCCUAGAUGAGCAGCCUCAUCAAUCUGCAGGCUAAAGCAGCAGGAAGGGAUCCUUGGCAGUUCUGUUUAUUUGGCAAGAUUGGGACAUGACCUGAGCUUACACCAAAUUACCUCAUAGCAAAUUAUUUUUUACCAAGCACUGUAAAUGUUGGGAUGAGUACACCAGGCUCUUGGGCUGAGGGUAGAUGAAUACAUCAAAGACCUGGUAAUUAACCUCCAGGUGUGGUUGGGCGCUUGUCUCUCCUCUUUUAGGAAAGAGUUAAAUCCCAACUGCCUCCUCUCCACCCCUCAGGUGCAGCAUUUCUGGUUCCUUCGAGAGGGUGAGGAGAGCCUGCAGGCAUGCUGUGCACCUCUGCAAUUGCUAGUCCCAGGGUCACAGCAAGUGGAAGUGCAGAGCACCACAAACUGCUUUGAGCAGAGCCCACUUCCUUCAUCCCGGAGAGCAUGGAGCCGUUACACCAACAUCAAUCAAGGGGGACCCAGGCGCUGCACUCACACAGUUGAAGCAGGGGAGCAAAUCGAAGACUCACCCAGGAGCAGAGUGCUUUUGAGACAGAGGAAGAAGACAAAACAGCUCCCAGCUCAGCUUCUCUUGCCAUAUUCAGGAAUCACCACACGUGCUGUUAUAUUGGGCCUCAUUUUGUUUCCCUUUCCCCAACACCUGUGUGCUGUGCUUGUGGUGAGUCUUCACAGCCAAGUACAAUUUUUCCAGUUCAACUCCACUGAUCACUAUCAACAAGAAAGUGUAAGAGCUCAGAAGUCAUCUUGGAGGCCCCAGGCGAAGACCAGUCCUGCAACCUUGGAAGGCAGCUAUGGUCACCACUAUACCACCAACGCCACACCAGUCAUGCAACCUUGGGAUGUGCAGGGUUUGGGCAGCCAAGGCUUGCUGCACUAACCCUUUGCUGCAUGUGUUUCAACAGUGCCAUUUACUUGAUGAAUGUCUCUUUUCCGGCAGAUGACAUGAGAACAGUGCUUGUAACUGUUUCUGCUCAGCAUGAUAUUCAGAACCCUUAACAUGGUUACUGACAUACAGGAGGUGUCUGUAUUUGUUGAAUAAAUGAAUAAAGGAG